GGCUUACACGGCCCGCCUGGUGCUGAUGGUCGCCCAGGAGCUGCAGGGGCCAGGGGAGAGAAGGGUGAUCCAGGUGAACUCGGUCUUCCAGGAGCAGUCGGAGCGAAGGGCGCACAGGGAUUGAAUGGCAUUCCCGGUCAACCAGGACAGGGUGGAUUGGCUGGCCUCCCUGGACCAAUGGGACCACUGGGACAACCCGGGCCACCAGGACCCCCCGGACCAAGCUAUCGUGUUGGUUUUGAUGACAUGGAAGGUUCUGGCGUGGGAGUGGCCAAUGGGGUUCCUGGAGCCAGAGGGCCAGAGGGGCAUCAGGGUCCUCCUGGCAUCCCUGGCAUACCAGGCAAGUCUGGUUUCCCUGGUAUUCCUGGUGAGAAGGGAAGUGAAGGACCACAGGGAAGCGAUGGCCGACCAGGGUUGGACGGUUUCCCUGGACCUAAUGUAUGUCAGAACCUUCUUCCACACACCCACCUCACAAUAUCUACAUAAGGAUUCUAACUCAUGUAGUUAA
rnacentral:lncRNA from 8 species